GUGAGUAUAGCUAUGGGGGUACACCUAGUUACAUUCCGAACCUAGAAGUUAAGCCCAUAUACGCUGAUGGUACUUGGCUGGAAGCGGCCUGGGAGAGUAUGGAUUUG
rnacentral:rRNA from 1 species